UCUUGCAGUUGCUUGUGCUAAGUUUACUGUCUUCUGAAGUAUCCUCUUUUAAACUUGUCACUGGGUAUCUUGUUGUAUCAUCAUCUAGACUAGAUGUUACUGCAUCUACCUCAUUGUCAUUGUGUCUAUUUCAAUGCACUAAGCCAUAUUCCUCUAACUAAAUUCAGUAUCAUAUACCCUGUAUCAUUAUGCCUCUAAUGUGUUGACAUCUUAGUUAUAGAUCCAUGCUUCAUUGCUUUUUUUCCAUGCAUGGCGCAGCAG
rnacentral:misc_RNA from 1 species